rnacentral:pre_miRNA from 1 species
AGUGGGAUAGCUGGGUCAUUUCGUGAUUCCACUCCUAGUUUUUUGAGGAAUCUCCAGAUGACUUUCCAGAGUACUUCUACUGAUUUGCAUUCCUAACAACUAU